rnacentral:rRNA from 1 species
UACGGAGGGCGCAAGCGUUGUUCGGAAUCAUUGGGCGUAAAGCGCGUGUAGGCGGCCAGGUAAGUCGGGUGUGAAAGCCCGGGGCCCAACCCCGGAACUGCAUUCGAUACUGCCUGGCUGGAGUCCCGGAGAGGAAGGCGGAAUUCCCGGUGUAGAGGUGAAAUUCGUAGAUAUCGGGAGGAACAUCAGUGGCGCAGGCGGCCUUCUGGACGGUGACUGACGCUGAGAAGCGAAAGCGUGGGGAGCAAACAGG